AUUUCAGUUUCUUCUUUCUCCAGCAGCCGUGAGACUCAAAUUACAAGGUUCUAGUAAGGAUAAGUACGAUCAGUAAGGAGCUAUCGGAUCAUCUUUUGGAAAGAUAUAUAUAUCAUCAGUAUCAAUUAAGAGCCUACACAAGUUCCAAAGCGAUUGCCCAAUAAGAUCGAUCGAGGAAAAACAAAUAAAUAUAGGAUCCGAGAAAGUAGACGAGACAUGUUAAGCAGAUGGAAAAUACUACUCCUGCAACUAUCAUAUUAGAGGCAACUUAAUCA